UACGUAGGGUGCGAGCGUUAAUCGGAUUUACUGGGCGUAAAGCGUGCGCAGGCGGCCCGUUAAGACAGGUGUGAAAUCCCUGGGCUCAACCUAGGAAUUGCGCUUGUGACUGGCGGGCUCGAGUACGGUAGAGGGGGGUGGAAUUCCUGGUGUAGCAGUGAAAUGCAUAGAGAUCAGGAGGAACACCGAUGGCGAAGGCAGCCCCCUGGGCCUGUACUGACGCUCAUGCACGAAAGCGUGGGGAGCAAACAGG
rnacentral:rRNA from 1 species